rnacentral:rRNA from 1 species
AUUGAACGCUGGCGGCAGGCCUAACACAUGCAAGUCGAGCGAGUGGCGGACGGGUGAGUAAUGUCUGGGGAUCUGCCCGAUAGAGGGGGAUAACUACUGGAAACGGUGGCUAAUACCGCAUACUAUCGGAUGUACCCAUAUGGGAUUAGCUAGUAGGUGGGGUAACGGCUCACCUAGGCGACGAUCGCUAGCUGGUCUGAGAGGAUGACCAGCCACACUGGGACUGAGACACGGCCCAGACUCCUACGGGAGGCAGCAGUGGGGAAUAUUGCACAAUGGGCGCAAGCCUGAUGCAGCCAUGCCGCGUGGAUGAAGAAGGCCUUAGGGUUGUAAAGUACUUUCAGCGGGGAGGCGUUACCCGCAGAAGAAGCACCGGCUAACUCCGUGCCAGCCGUCGCGGUAAUAC